GAUGAAGAACGUAGCGAAAUGCGAUAAGUAAUGUGAAUUGCAGAAUUCAGUGAAUCAUCGAAUCUUUGAACGCACCUUGCACCCUUUGGCAUUCUGAAGGGUAUGCUCUUUUGAGUGUCAUUGUACUCUCACACUCCCGAUCUUUGCAUUGGGAGCAGUGGACUUGGGUUUGCUGCUUCACCGUCGCUUACCUCAAAUAGGUUAGUGCAACUCUUGGUUGGACAUAGUACGGCGUGAUAAGUGUUCUUCGCCGGUGCCUCGCAAAGAGGGUGGCCGAUCGGGAUGUUGUGCUCCAAACCGUCUUCGGACAAUCUCUGACGACUUGACCUCAAAUCGAGUAAGACUACCCGCUGAACUUAAGCAUAUCAAUAAGCGGAGGA
rnacentral:misc_RNA from 1 species